UUGCACUCGGCUGAGUUCCAUGCAGGUCCUUUGCUGCAUGGUAUCUUAGUGUCUGAGCCUGCCACACUGCCUAUGCGUGUUCUUCACAUGUCCUGUUCUGCUGUGCAGCAGGGUGUUGCUCACUAUCACGCAUAAAGCCGCCGUGAAGACUAUUGAACGUUGUGCGUGCAUUUCCACCGAGCGUUCCCCUAAGGGUAGAACUGCUGGAUCGCGGGGGCUGAACACCUUCGACUUUAUUAGGACCCAAGACACCACUUGCCAAAGCGGCCGCGUCUCUUUACCUCCCUCCAGGAGCGUUUGUACCCUGGCUUCAUGGUCUUGUCAACAACAGACAACCAGGAGAGAAGUCCUGAGCAGCACCAGUGGAGAGGGCUGUUGGUAAACGUCUUUGAGAAGAGGAUUAACAGGAUGGUGUGGGCAUGGUGUGGGGAGAAAGACUGCAAGAGGAAUUGGAAAGAAUCAGGUUUUCUUUCAGACCUGCUUUUCAUCUGAAAGCCGGAGGAAUACGGUGGAAAGCAUCCCGAGGUGGGGAAUCAUUAAAAACUGCGGCUUUGUUUCAGUCCUGUUUCCUAUUUGCUGGGGAACCCAGGGCAAGCAGCCUCAGCCUUCCUGGACUCUGAAGUGUCUUCUGUAAAAUGAGAGAUUGGGACUCAGACGAGUACUUCUCAAGCUCUCCUGUGCACGUCCGUUUCCUCAGGAUGCUGUGAAAACGCAGCUUCUGAUUUACUAGGUCUGGGGUGGGGCCCUGGACUCUGCAUUUCCAACAAGCUCCCAUCCUCAUGGUCCAGGAUCAGGCCCUACUUUAAUUAGAUCACCCUCCAAGGUGCCCCUGGGCUCCCCUGGUGGCCCAGAGGGUAAAGAAUCUGCCUGCCGUGCAGGAGACCCAGGUUCGAUCCCUGGGCU